GACGAACGCUGGCGGCGUGCUUAACACAUGCAAGUCGAGCGGUAAGGCCCUUUCGGGGGUACACGAGCGGCGAACGGGUGAGUAACACGUGGGUGACCUGCCCUCAGCUCUGGGAUAAGCCUGGGAAACCGGGUCUAAUACUGGAUAUGACUCCAUGACGCAUGUUGUGGGGUGGAAAGCCUUGUGCGGCUGAGGAUGGGCCCGCGGCCUAUCAGCUUGUUGGUGGGGUGAGGCCUACCAAGGCGACGACGGGUAGCCGGCCUGAGAGGGUGUUCGGCCACACUGGGACUGAGACACGGCCCAGACUCCUACGGGAGGCAGCAGUGGGGAAUAUUGCGCAAUGGGCGGAAGCCUGACGCAGCGACGCCGCGUGGGGAUG
rnacentral:rRNA from 1 species